GAGCCCCCUAUCAUCAGUUGACUGCAAAUCACUGAGAACUUAAGGUACCCUGAUCUCUCUCUCCACUCUCUUUUAUCUUCAUUUUCACCGUGAUUGACCUAGCCUAGCUACCCUCUCAUUAAGCCAAUCGUUCCUCCACCACCAUCCCCACCGCUGCCACAGCCUCCAUAAGCAUCACCUUGUUCCUAUUGCUGCUGAUGG
rnacentral:lncRNA from 1 species